rnacentral:tRNA from 1 species
GCGGUAGUAGCUCAACUGGAAGAGUACAUGACCGUCACUCAUGGGGUGCGGGUUCGAGUCUCGCCUACCGUU